rnacentral:rRNA from 1 species
GAUGAACGCUAGCGGCAGGCUUAAUACAUGCAAGUCGUGGGGCAGCAGGUCUGUAGCAAUACAGAUGCUGGCGACCGGCAAACGGGUGCGGAACACGUACACAACCUUCCUUUAAGUGGGGAAUAGCCCAGAGAAAUUUGGAUUAAUACCCCGUAACAUAUAGAAGUGGCAUCACUUUUAUAUUAUAGCUCCGGCGCUUAAAGAUGGGUGUGCGGCUGAUUAGAUAGUUGGCGGGGUAAUGGCCCACCAAGUCGACGAUCAAUAACUGGUGUGAGAGCGCGACCAGUCACACGGGAGCUAGGACACGGGCCCGACUCCUACGGGAGGCAGCAGUAAGGAAUAUUGGUCAAUGGACGCAAGUCUGAACCAGUCAUGCCGCGUGGAGGAUGAAGGUCCUCUGGAUUGUAAACUUCUUUUAUUUGGGAAGAAAUCUAUCUUUUCUUGGAUAGUUGACGGUACCAGAUGAAUAAGCACCGGCUAACUCCGUGCCAGCCGCCGCGGUAAUAC